rnacentral:lncRNA from 1 species
CAUCCUCCUUUUCUUCUCUCUUUCUUGUAUAUAUAAUUCUUUCUACCCAAAUUUUUUGUUCUGCAUUGCCAUUUCCAUUUAUAUAUUAAAAAAAUACUUUGAAAUAACCAAAGAGCAAUGAAAAGAAAAGAGGAUGAUUACCAUAUCCUCUGUUUUCAUUUUGUUAUUUGCCUUUUCAUAGAUCUCUGGUUUGUACCUAAAUGUUGCAUUUUCUUUUCAUCUUUUUUUAAUAGCUUUUGUUAUAAGUUUCUGAUCUAUCUGAAUUGGGGAUUUUCAGAAAGAUCUGAUUGGAUCCAAAACUUCACUUUGCUGUUUAAUCAGUAUUUUGCAAGCUGGGGUCUACCUGAUUUCCUUAAAGGUUUAUUGAUUAGUGAUUACUAUUUUUAUCCACAUCUGGAUCUGUAUGCUUAGUUUUCAUGAUGGCUCUCCGUUUCAAUUUGUUUGGACUAUCGUGAUUCAAAGAUUAAAGGACAUUUUUGUCUUUGAAUAAAUUACUACACACUUGGCCAAUGAAAUUAUCUCUCUUAUUUAUUUUAUAUCAAAAAUAGACACAUGGCCGAUGAAGAAAUUUUUCGUCGAUUUUUGAGGCCUGCACAAAUAAAAAGACGGAUAUUAUGUAUAUAAAUACGUAAUAAAAUAAAUAAAUUUGGGCGAUGAUGAAAUUUUUAUUACAACGCAAAAGAUUUUAUGACUCGUAUCUUGGCAAGAUGAUUUUGGAUGACCAACAAAUUGAGCAACUACUUCGUAGCCGUGGCGUAUCUAAAAUUUAAUUCGAGCCCACCUUUUAACAAAAAAUUAUAUUUUCAAAUACAUAUAUGUACACAUACCUUUUAAGUUUAUUUUGAUAAUUAUUCGUUACUAAUAUUUUUGUUACAAGUGUUUGUACAGGUUCUCGAGAAUACCGUCAAAAAGGACACUCGAAAAGAAGAGUUUGAGUUUUAUGUUUGUAUUUUAUAUUUUUAUAAUUGUACAAAUAUUAUCAUAGUGAAAACUUUAUUUUUGGGGUGUUGGGGGAUAUUCUUUAUUUACGCAAUUCUCAUCACGCGUUAGGCAAAUUUAGGCCGUUACUAUUUAUAUAAAAGAAUUAAAUUGAUUUAGAUAUUUAAUCGAAUAAAUCAUAUUUUUUUAUACUAAAAAUAUUACGUAAUCUUUUCCUUUUAACAAAUUUCUCUUUCUUUAAUCUUUUCAUUUUUUUCAUACAUAUUCUCAUGUAUUUUUGUUUAUUUUCAUACACUUUUUAUACACAUUUUUAC